UACGAAGGGGGCUAGCGUUGCUCGGAAUCACUGGGCGUAAAGGGUGCGUAGGCGGGUCUUUAAGUCAGGGGUGAAAUCCUGGAGCUCAACUCCAGAACUGCCUUUGAUACUGUAGAGCUUGAGACCGGAAGAGGUAAGUGGAACUGCGAGUGUAGAGGUGAAAUUCGUAGAUAUUCGCAAGAACACCAGUGGCGAAGGCGGCUUACUGGUCCGGUUCUGACGCUGAGGCGCGAAAGCGUGGGGAGCAAACAGG
rnacentral:rRNA from 1 species